CGGUCUUGGCUCACUGUAGCCUCAACCUCCUGGGUUCAACUGAUUCUCCUGCCUCAGCCUCUCAAAUAGGGGGGAAUAUAGGCAUGUGUCGCCAGGUACAACUGAUUUUUUGGAUUUUGUAGAGAUAGCGUUUUGCUGUGUUGCUCAGGCUGGUCUUGAACUCCUGGGCUCAAGUGAUCCUCCUACCUCAGCCUCCCAAAGUGCUGUGAUUAUAGGCGUGAGCCAUCGUGCCCAGCAG
rnacentral:lncRNA from 1 species